CAACAAUUGUGAAAUAUGCUAUGCCUCGUGGAUAAGUCGAGGGUAAAACUUGGGGCUAUGAAAUUCUGUGAUUUUUAUAAUUAUAUACACACACACUCAUACAAACACACACUCUGCAUUAUAUAUACACACUCAUACAAACACACACUCUGCAUUAUAUAUACACACUCAUACAAACACACACUCUGCAUUAUAUACACACACACACACACUCAUACAAACACACACUCUGCAUUAUAUAUACACACACACACUCAUACAAACACACACACACUCAUACAAACACACACUCUGCAUUAUAUAUACACACACACACACACACACUCAUACAAACACACACUCUGCAUUAUAUAUACACACACACACACACACACACUCAUGCAAACACACACUCUGCAUUAUAUACACACAC